rnacentral:lncRNA from 1 species
ACACAAGCACACACAUACACAAGCGCAAAUCCUCUCUUUCUCUUUCUCUCAUUUCCCGUCAUAGGUUCUAUGCAGGCAGAUGAGUGUCACAGCUGUAACUGAGGCACAGAGCAGUACACACAGUGGAGCCGAUUUCCGCGAUGGCGAGAGGGGGCACCGGAGGUGACAACAAUAACAAGACUGUCCUUCGGACAAGUUUUAGCGCUGAAUAUCUUCAGGAAAAUGGGUUCCAUGAGAAGUGACAUCCUCCUCGAAUCAAAAGAUUCUCAGGAUGAUGGAGUGAGUGAUGGAAUAGGUUGCCAACUGUAGUUACUCCACUCAGCACAGAAUGGCUGCGGGGAAAUAUAAUCAGACAUGCCCAAAGAAGUCUGCUUAGGGUGAAACAAAUACCUUUGAGGUUUAAAUCAGAAAGGAAGGAGAGACUGUUUCUACAGGUGUCAUACAAAAAUCAAUACUGAGCCAAGGAUUAUUGGAUCCCAUAGAACCACGGAGACUUGGUAGUGAAAUUCUUCCAAAGCAUUCCAUCCGUGCAGGCAGAUGGUGUUCCUAGGUUUGGAAAUAUAAAUCCCAUGGGAAGUCAGCUGAAGACCAUUUUAUGCAUCACUCAUCCUGUUAGAGCCCUGUGCUGUUCUGUCUCUCUAUAAGACUGGCUGAAACCACCACGGUUGUUUACAAUUUAUGCUCUAACUUUGGAUCACCUAGUUAAUACUCUAACUCCGAUUAUUACCAAAGACAAUGUUCUAUAAAAGAUAUUGUCUAUUAGAAGGAUGCUUCUGCAUUAUUAAUAAAAUCACAGGGAAAAUGCAACAUUUUGGAUGUCACAUCUGAUAAGUGGGUGACUGAUCGUACCCGCCAGCUGGCUAAUGUCAUAAUUAACAAAGUUGCUACUACAUCUGCAAAGUUUAAUCGAAAAAUUUGCCAGUGAUAUGAUGGCCUUGUCACAGAGAUCACAAGGGACACGGAGUUGACUUUUGCUCAAGGUGGAACGACAGAGCUGUGUAGGCAAGAUGAGAAAUUGCGAACUUGUUCGGCCAAAGGAGGCUAAUAAUGAAGGGGCCGGGAAGGAGGCCAGUGCUACCAGGGUUAUCUCACAACCUCAGAUGCUGGAUAAGUCGACGGAGGCAGAAUCGCUUUGGGAUGACAUUCAGAAAGCCUGGAGUGAUUACUUGCAAGAGAAAAGCCUACCUAUUCUUUCCAAGGUGCAGGAAUAUUCCCCUGACCUGCUCAUCCAGUGGUCCAGUAAUGAAUUACUGGAGACCUGCCUUAGACAAAGAAUGCACUCGGAGCCCCAACACACCUAAAGCCAUGCUUUGAAGGAUCUGCCAAGCUCACUUUUAAUCAUGAGAAAGAAAUUACCCACACGGAGUCAGCAGAAAAUGAGAAAGUAGAGCUCGUGCUGUGAAUAAUUCCAGCAAGUGCCAAGGGGCUAGUUGAGGAAUGGCUUCAUGAGGUGAAUAUCUUUAGCUUGUACUUAGGGUUUGGUUAGCGUAUAAUCAUUUUCUCUUUUAGGAGCAAUGACUAUCAUACAUGUAUUUCCUAACUAAAGAGUGCUCAGAGCAUUUGUCAGGUUGUUGACAGAUUUAAUAUCAGUCUUGCCCAUGUUGUUAUUUACUAUGACUAAUUUUACGUUUGUAAAUAUGCAAAAAUCAAUUUAGGCGGAAAGGCUCUCCUCCGAGCCAAUGACUGCUACUAGCUGUAUGCAUUUGUGUGUAUUGCUGUGAGUGCAUGUCCAGUAGUUUAUGUCUCUGUGUCUGUAUGUGCCCUUGUUCUGUCUUCUCUCUGUUGUGAACGCAGGUUGGGAGAAUUAGCCAACCAUUGGGUUCUCAGAUGUGGUCCCAGGCUUUCAUUUGAUUUUUGGAACGGGAAAAAAAGAACGUGUCACAUCAUGAUUAAUGGUGAAUCUGAAUUUUCAAUUCACAUGAAAGGAGGAAGGGGAGGGGAUAUGAGUCAAGUGACAAGACUAACCUUUUCCCUUUGGGACGAGCAUGAUUCAAAUUAAACAUCACUUUCAGUGUGAAAUUAGUUUGAAGGCUUUUUUUUUUUUUUUUUUUUUUUUUUUUUGUGCCUGGUUUAACUCCUUGGUGGCUGCUCAUUCAGAGAGGAUUGCUUCCAUCCCAGCUCCGUGCCCAGGUCUACUCCCAGUAGCCCACAGUUCCUCCUCCUUUGUUUUUCUAAAGAUCAGGUCCAGGAAAUGAAUAUUUUACCAUUUCAAAAGCUUCACUCCUCACAAGAUAAGAUUCUCCCUGAAAUGUGUGUCCCAAACUAAUGUUUUAAUACAUUAAAUCAAUCAAUCUGUUAAUCAAUAAUAACAUUCUUCUUUUUUUAAAGAUAAUUUUGCCAGGGAGGAGGGAGAAAGGAAGCAAGGGAUCCUUUUGAAAGGCAUUUUGAGUGCCCUCCGCUUGGUGCCAGUUUUUGCUGGCUGAGUGCGCCACAGAGGAAGAACAGCAACAAAACUCCCAAGUUCUCUCCUGAGUCUCUAGUUUCCCACAUAACAGUCACAGGAUUGCCAUGCCAACCUUCAGCAAUGUUGGCUUUCAGCAAGCAUGUGCCUCGACACUUUAAAACUGCCCUUCAGUACUGAUCCAAAGGAUGCAGGUCCAAACUUGUAGAAAGAACCCGCUACCUGAGCAAAUGCAAGGCUGCCUUCCCAUGUAUCCACAUUCUUGAUGCUACCAUUUAAGCAUCAGCAGAUUUGAUAUGUGAUUGACUCUGUUUCUGGAGUUUGGUGGCUGGUGGAGAAAGGGAAAGUGUUGAGCUGGCUAAGAAACAGUGUUAUUCUUCUAGUGUAUUUUCAAAGGGAAAAUGGUAGGGCUCUUGAACCCCUUCCCUAAUGGAAGGAGAGAUGUGGUAGAGGAGCGGUGGGGGUUGGGAGGGUAGCUGGUGGGGAGAGCUGAGCCAGCUGGGGGAGGAGGUAGAGGUGGAGUCUGGGAGGUAGAAGGUGGAGGCAGAUGAGCAGCUGUGUUUAUUUUAAAACAUAUCAUUUAACCCUCACCUAAAAACAAAUUGGAGAGGUUUGGGAGUGCAUUAAUCUGGACCCAAUUAGCAUGUCUUUCUCCUUCAAAAGUGCAACCUGAGAUUAAUGAAUAUAAACUAGAGUUUCAGAUGCAGUGCUUAAAUCAUUUGCAUGUUUUCUGCAUGAUAAUUGAAUUUAUGUAUGCACUUCCUUUCGUUUAACUAUUUCCAGUCUCUUCCCUGUGAUUCACAUAAACCAAGAUGUCAUGGUAGUCACCUCUAGAUGGAAAUAGCUUGCCUAGCCUUUACUCCUAAGGAGGAACUCAAGUUCUUGUUUCUUUUAUUUGAAUUUGAAUAAUGCAUUUUUAAAAAAUAAAGCAGAGGGCAGUGCUUAAUAGUCUGGAAUGCUGUUUCGGGAGUUGGUAGAUAGGCACCUCAAGUUUAUUUUUUAAAGUCCAGAUAAAACCAUUGGGAUUUAUGGUAUUGAGUUUUCAGUGGUACAGAGAAUUGGGUUUCAGCAUGGCCACUUAUAAGUGUUUUAAUAAUACCAAGAGCAAUGUCACUUUAAUGCAGCAUGAAGAAUGUUCUUGGUCUUUGGACCUGAGUUAUUUAGAUCACUGAGAGAUUUCAGUGCAUAGUAUUGUUUCUGGCAUCGUUCUCGCUUUUGUAGAUGGGGUUGGGGAUGCAUCUCUAUAAAAGGCUGUAGGUGAGCAGUUAGCACAUAGUAUGCUAUACUUUUUUAUUUCCUUUUUGUUAUUUAGGUGUAGAGAAAGCUUAACGCUUACAUAGUCAAACAGGUACUAAGAUCCCGACUCCCCACCUGACCCAAAAUGAAAAGUCUAAAAGCCAGCAUGGGUAUGUAAGAAAGCUUUCUGGGGAAAAGUUGGAGCAAGAGGCUUGAAAUAAUUCCUCUGGUUUCAGUUUGCAUCAGUGAUUUGUCUGUCUUCUGUCUUUCCGUAUGUGUUUCCAAGUUCAAUGUCAAAGUGAUGAGCAUUUCUCCAGGAAUUCUUCCCAGUGUCCUUUGUUUUUGGUGAAUUCAAUGGCUGAAUGUUGCUGAGUGUCUCUUGGUCUUGUUUCCCGGUCCUUGUAGCUAAGAAUGUCGUGGAAGGAUAAAAUCUUGUUAAUUCGUGAUGUCACAAUUCAAGUGUGCUUCCUGUCACUUAUGUGUAGUUUAAAAUGUUCUUUAAUGUAGCGUGAAAUGAUUGGUUAGCUUUGAAAUGGUUGUGAAGUCAUGUGAAGAAAAUAAGUUUUGCAUCCGACCAAGAUAAAUUCACUCUAGUGCUUUAUGGCUUUUUAUUCCUAUGUGAUAGUAAUAAAGUCUCAUGUAGGGAUGGAAGCCAUGAAAUACAUUGUGAAAAAUCAUCAACUAAGAAGGGGCCAUCAGUAUAGAGAACGUUAGCCUGUGGAGCUGUGAAUGUGAUGGAGACAAGAUUUAGUGUAUAGCUCUGCUACCUGCCUGGUGUUCCUUUGAGUUUCUUUAUCCUUAGAUUUGACAGCUGAGAAAUCUAGGUGGAUUCAUAUUCGUAAUCAUUGAUUAACAUGCACAUUUGGGUUUGCACAUUUUUGUUUAUCAUACAUUUUUCUCCGUUUUCUAUUAAAGAACAUGCUCUAGGGGAACUAUUAAUAGCCCACCAGUCGGGUAGGCAGCAUUCAAUCCUUCUAUGCCUUCUUUCGCCACCUGUUGAGGUCUUUCUUCUGAAACAAAGAAGAAAUAGACAAAUCAGACUUGCCCUCUUGGAAAUGUGGUCCAGAUUUCUCUACUCCCAAGCUCCAAAAAAGGUAUACAUUGGAUGGGCUAGAUCAACUCCUCCUGAGAGCCAUAAAUCCGCCAAGAGUUGUUUUCCAUGUAAGGGUGUGGUACAAUGGGGAACACCUGAUGUUGGAGGAAAGCAGGAGGACUUUAGAGUGGAGUUGCAUUCUAAUCUCUCUGCCGCUUCAACUAUGUGACCUGGGGCAAAUGAUAUAAACUCUAUGAGCCUCUUUCCUUAUCUUUAAAAUGAAGAGAAGUAAUACCUACCUUGUAGGGCUGUUGUGAGGAUUAAAUGAAGUAAUGCAUACAGUGCCUAACAAAGUAUUUAACAUCAUAUUUUUUAAAAGCUCAUGAAAUAUUAGUUUUUCUUCCUUCCCCUCUUUCUAUUUUCUCUCCUGUUCCCUUUUCUCUCCCUCCUCUGCCCUCUCCUUCCUUCAGAUGUUAGUCUAAAACAGCACCUUGGAUCUAAGCAGCACCUUUGAGAAAGAAAAGACUGCUUCAAGAAUGUCUAGUUGCACCUCCUUUCCGUAUGUGGCCUAAAUGCCUAGGUUGGAUCAAUAGUUUAAUUUUUUUAUUGAACUGUUUAAUAUUGACUAUGGACUUACAUUCACUUUUACUGUUUUCUGUAUAUUUACUUUUGCUUGAAGUGUUUUAAUAUUGACUAUUUACCUCUGCUCAUUUUUAUUGAUUUUCUGUAUUUUUUCAAUGAAAAUUAUAAUAAAAAUUAUUUUUGUUAUC